rnacentral:rRNA from 1 species
UACGAAGGGGGGCUAGCGUUGCUCGGAAUCACUGGGCGUAAAGCGCACGUAGGCGGCUUCUUAAGUCAGGGGGUGAAAUCCUGGAGCUCAACUCCAGAACUGCCUUUGAUACUGGGAGGCUCGAGUCCGGGAGAGGUGAGUGGAACUGCGAGUGUAGAGGUGAAAUUCGUAGAUAUUCGCAAGAACACCAGUGGCGAAGGCGGCUCACUGGCCCGAUACUGACGCUGAGGCACGAAAGCGUGGGGAGCAAACAGG